CCUCUAAGUGGUCUGAUAAGCUAACCUCCUCCCGAGUGCCUGUCUACCUCGACAGUGAGGAACAACUGUCCUGUUUGCCGAUCUGAGAGGAGUGCUGCAUAGGACACCAACACAACUGAGCUUCACAGAUGAAGUGCAGAGGUAUGCCGGACCAUGUAAUGUGUUUGUGAGUGUCCUGCUCCUGCACUUACAAAAUCUACUGUAUAAACUGCAUGCUGGUGCUACUCGUGUAUGGACCAAUGUAUAAUGGCUUGCUGUUCAGUAGUGCUAUAAUAGUAUACUUAAAUUAACUGUUUUUUCAUAGGCCAUCAUAUAUGCCCUGGCUGUCCUCCGGAAUUUCUCAUUGCAGGAGGCUGAGCAGGUCUUCCUUUCUGGUCCGGAUUAUCAUUACAGAUGGAGAGUUAAUG